CUACGUGCCAGCAGCCGCGGUCAUACGUAGGGUGCAAGCAUUAUCCGGAGUGACUGGGCGUAAAGAGUUGCGUAGGCGGUUUAAUAAGUGAAUAGUGAAACCUGGUGGCUCAACCAUACAGACUAUUAUUCAAACUGUUAAACUCGAGAAUGGUAGAGGUAACUGGAAUUUCUAGUGUAGGAGUGAAAUCCGUAGAUAUUAGAAGGAACACCGAUGGCGUAGGCAGGUUACUGGGCCAUUUCUGACGCUAAGGCACGAAAGCGUGGGGAGCGAACCGGAUUAGAUACCCGGGUAGUCCACGCCGUAAACGAUGGAUACUAGCUGUUGGAGGUAUCGACCCCUUCAGUAGCGAAGCUAACGCGUUAAGUAUCCCGCCUGUGGAGUACGGCCGCAAGGCUAAAACAUAAAGGAAUUGACGGGGACCCGCACAAGCGGUGGAUUAUGUUCUUUAAUUCGAUGAUAACCGAAGAACCUUACCAGGGCUUGACA
rnacentral:rRNA from 1 species